GUGCUGUUCCCUUUGGCAGCACACAUACUAAAAUUGGACCGAUAUAGAGAAGGUUAGCAUGGCCCCUGUGUCAGGGUGACAUUCAAAUUCCUGAAGUGUUCCAUAUUUUU